rnacentral:sRNA from 12 species
GCAUGACAAGCGCAAGACAGGUAGAGGUCGUUUCUUAAACGGCAGCCCGUAUGGGUGGAUUCCUCGGUUCUUGGGGUCACUUAAUUC